AUUCCAACAUAACAAAAAUUUUCGCUCCGUCCGUCCGUCGAGCCUGCGAUACCCUGCCGCUCGCCCCGCGACUUCCCUCCUGCGAUCCCCCGCCGCUCGCCCCGCAAUCACCGCAAGCAAUCAGCACAAUCUACAUGAGUCUGCCUUCUCCCCUGCACUCCUCAGGCGGUGGAUUUGGCCUUCCUUCCCGAUUCCUCAGCCCGUUACCACCAUCACGAAGUUCUUGCGACUGCUGCCACCAUCCUGCUUCUUCGCAAAAGAUGUCGCGCGCCACCCACCAUCGGCACCACCAACACCGCCCUCGCCCUCACCCUGCAGUCCGUGGAGUAGAUCGACGAUCAUCACCAUCUCUACUGGUGGUGGCACCGCCAGAACCCUGCAAGGGAUCAGACGAAGGCGAUUCUAUCCAAGAAGGCGUCGAGAUCGCCACCAAGGCCGAGCAGCAUGAGUGCUUCAUCUUUAAGGUUGUAAUGAAAAGUUGGGCCUGCUAGGCUGAAGAGUUUUCGAUAUAAGUCUGCGCCUUUGCGAUGGGUUCAGGCAAUGUGAUCAUGAAGAAGGUAAUAAAGCACAACUCUUUUGAUCUUGACAUUCAACUUGCUAAGAGCUGGAUGGUAAAGCACGCUCUUUUGUCUCUAUGUGAUAAUAGUUUGUUUAAUGUGGUGAGUUUUGUAUGUAAUUUUAAUCCUGAUCAAAAUUGCUAAGUUGAAUUUGAGGACUCUCUUUUUUUUCUGCACUGAAAUACAAAUAUGCUUGAGCUCUUCUGGGACAUACUGGAUAAGAGCUUGCUAAAUUGAAUUAGAAAAGAUUUUUAUGAACUCAAUAACUCAUAGCAUAGUGAGAGUGUCUUGUCAAUUAAUCUACUGUUUCAUGGCUUGUGAGGAUGUUGUAUCAGAGAUGCUGUGAGGAUGUUGUAUCAGAGAUGCUUUCUGGCAAGGUGCAUAUACAAGCUUUUUUUACUCAAUCAUUAUUGCUGAUUUUUGUUCCUUGCUGAGGGUAGAAUGGGUGAUGCCGAUCAUGUUUCAUUUUUAUAGGGAUGGUUCUUGUGAUAGUUAUACAAGUUCUUUUAUGGCAAGUUUUUACUAAUUAUGUUGCUCUCUUACUUUAGAGAUAAUAAUUCUUGCUUGAGUUGUUGAUUCAACAGUUGCCCUAUCUUUUUUUUGUAGAAAGUGAAAAGGACUCUUCUUUGGUUAAAGUUAGAGUUUGUUUAACUAUAUAGUUCAAUUUCAGGGUUCGUUCCUGAUCCCAGAUUGGUGCAUAUAUUAUAUAUAUACUAUAACUCUUGUUUCAUGCACCGUGGUCCAUUGAGUGUUUACACUCUAGAUUAGGCAACGCCAAGUUGUGUGUGUGAUAUCAAUUUUUAAUUCUGCCUGGAUCCGAGAUGCAUGACUUGAAGGCUCGGUAUGGAGAUGUGGCGGUCGUGAAUUUAUUGGCGUACAAAAGAAAUAGACUUCAGAGAUUUCUUCUUGCUGAUCUAAAACAUUAUCUUAUCGUGGGUCUGUACAAUAGAGUUUAUUUGUGAAGUGUGGCGCCAUGACUUUGCUUUUUGAACUAAAUGUUGCUUUAAUAUUGGUAUUUAA